rnacentral:rRNA from 1 species
GAAUUCUGGACAAUGGGCGAAAGCCUGAUCCAGCAAUGCCGCGUGCAGGAAGAAGGUCUUCGGGUUGUAAACUGCUUUUGUACGGAACGAAAAGCUUUUGGUUAAUACCCUGGAGUCCUGACGGUACCCUAAGAAUCAGCACCGGCUAAAUACGUCACAGCAGCCGCGGUAAGACGUAGGGUGCAAGCGGUAAUCGGAAUUACUGGGCGUAAAGCGUGCGCAGGCGGUUUUGUAAGACAGAGGUGAAAUCCCCGGGCUCAACCUGGGAACUGCCUUUGUGACUGCAAGGCUAGAGUACGGCAGAGGGGGGUGGAAUUCCGCGUGUAGCAGUGAAAUGCGUAGAUAUGCGGAGGAACACCGAUGGCGAAGGCAACCCCCUGGGCCUGUACUGACGCUCAUGCACGAAAGCGUGGGGAGCAAACAG